CACGUAGGGCGCAAGCGUUUGUCCGGAAUUAUUUGGGCGUAAAGAGCUCGUAGGCGGUCUGUUGCGUCCGCUGUGAAAACUCGGGCUUAACCCGAGCCUGCAGUGGAUACGGGCAGACUAGAGGUAGGUAGGGAGAAUGGAAUUCCCGGUGUAGCGGUGAAAUGCGCAGAUAUCAGGAGGAACACCGGUGGCGAAGGCGGGUCUCUGGGCCGAUACUGACACUGAGGAGCGAAAGCGUGGGGAGCGAACAGG
rnacentral:rRNA from 1 species